UUGGAUUUAAACCCCAAAUAUAAAGUUUUCACUUUUUUUAGAA
rnacentral:tRNA from 1 species